GACGUAGGGCGCGAGCGUUGUCCGGAUUUAUUGGGCGUAAAGAGUUCGUAGGUGGUUCGUUAAGUCUGAUGUUAAAGACCGGGGCUCAACUUCGGGACUGCAUUGGAUACUGGCGGACUUGAGUGUGGUAGAGGCAAUCGGAAUUCCAGGUGUAGCGGUGAAAUGCGCAGAUAUCGGGAAGAACACCCGUGGCUAAGGCGGCUCUCUAGUACGGUACUGACGCUGAGACGCGAAAGCGUGGGGAGCGAACAGG
rnacentral:rRNA from 1 species